UUUAAUUUUAAUGGUUUAAUAUAGAUUGGUUUUGAUACCACUUAUUGAAUAUUUAUGAAUUUUAAACUUUAUAAACUUUAUAUGGUUGCUAAGAUCUGCACGUCAAAUCACCAAUAAAAAUAAUUAAAGUGGAACAAACCUUGAUCCAUUGAUUUGUUUCUCGAAUAAUAAAUCUUGAAUUGUAAUCUUUGAAUCUUGUUUCCAGAUCUUUAAUCUUGAUUCUUGAUUAUGGAUACUUGAAUUCUUCUUGUUUAUUCAUGAAUUCCUUUAUAUAGGUUUUGGAUCUCUCUCUUCAAUAUGCUUUAUCUAUUAAUUCUUGCACUGAUGGGAUGACACAAAGAAUGAGAAGUUGCAUAUAAUUUGGGUACCAUAACCAUAUAUAAAGUUUCAAUAUGUAUUUCGCGCAUCCUAAAAUAUAAUUCUAAAUGAAUCUGGUCUCUAUACAUAUAAUCCAGCCCAUACUUUAUUUAGAUGCCCUAAGUCCAAUUACUUAAUACUUUAUUAGAUCACUUUAACUUUGGACUUAAAUUUAAAAUAGUUUUUAUACACAAUUAAUUACAUUUGACGGUCCACAUGGCAAAUUAAUAAUUUUCCAACAUAAUUUACACAAAGUAGCUUGACUAUGCUCCAAAUCCAAACAAGAAGGACAAAAUUUUCUAUUUAAGAAGCUUAAUUAUGCUCCAAAUCCCAACAAAAGCAACAAUAAAUUACAUUAAAUCCUCCUUUAAAUUCUUCUCACAAAUAGAAGUAUCUCCUUAUCACCUACUUUCACUCCUUUCGUACGUAUUAUUACAUUUCUUUUCUUAACAUAUAACUCGUAGUUAUCAAAGAUUUCAAUAUCUAGAAACCCGGAAAAUAAAAGGAUUAUGGUCAAAAAGCAGUGAAACUCAUCUGUCUCAGCCUUGAAUUUGGGCUUCCUUUGGCAAUAACCAUCAAUUUGCACAUCCUUAUAAUCAAAACCUAAGAAAAUGCAAGAAAAUUGGUUGCUGAAUUUCAAGAAUUGCACGGCGGAAACAAACAACGAAAAUCUAUUGUCAAGGGAUUUUGAGAGAGAUGGUUUUCUAUGCGCAGAGGGAAU
rnacentral:lncRNA from 1 species